AAAGUCGUAACAAGGUCUCCGUUGGUGAACCAGCGGAGGGAUCAUUACCGAGUACUAUAACUCAUAACCCUUUGUGAACCUNCACACCUGUUGCUUCGGCGGCGCGCCUCCCGGGGCGUGCCCGCCGGCGAUUAUCAGAAUCUCUGUUCGAACCCGACGAUACUUCUGAGUGUUCUAAGCGAACUGUUAAAACUUUCAACAACGGAUCUCUUGGCUCCAGCAUCGAUGAAGAACGCAGCGAAACGCGAUAUGUAAUGUGAAUUGCAGAAUUCAGUGAAUCAUCGAAUCUUUGAACGCACAUGGCGCCUUCCAGUAUCCUGGGAGGCAUGCCUGUCCGAGCGUCGUUUCAACCCUCGAGCCCCCGUGGCCCGGCGUUGGGGACCUGCCCAGGCAGUCCCCGAAAACCAGUGGCGGACCCGACGGGCCCUUCCUUUGCGUAGUAACAUCUGCCUCGCAUCGGGAGCCCCCGGGCUAUCCGGCCUCUAAACCCCCCUCAAGCCCGCUCCGGCGGCACCAAGGUUGACCUCGGAUCAGGUAGGAAUACCCGCUGAACUUAA
rnacentral:rRNA from 1 species